GUUUAUUGAUAUUUAAAAACUGUUUUGAUAGUGCUUCAUAUGUCCUUGUAAAAGAAAACCUAUUUAAUUCUAUUUGCAUAUUUAAAGCAUUUAAAUAGUAUGUUUAGAUAUUGUCUGGCUUUGGAAUUUGAGUGACUAGGACACAGGACACUACAGUUUACCUAAAGCUAGUGUCAUAUUUUAUUGGCUGUGAUGAGAUCAAUUACUGGAUUUGUACAUAUUUGACGGCACAAAAUUAUGAUACUCAACACACACAACAAGAAUUUUUUUUAACAAAUGUAUCAAAUCAGUUGUUAAAACUUGAUGACUGUUUAAGAAAAAAAAUAUUUUUUUACAAAAUUGAGCUUAACACUAUUUAUGGAAUUUCUUUGUAAUUUUUGGACAAAAAAAAGAAAAGCAACAUGUGUGCAAGAAUAAUAAAUGUUUUCAUCCAUUGGUGUAAGAAGUAAUGACGUAGUACUUAGUAUGUGUAUAAUGGUAUCAUUUUGCAAAAAGUUUUCAGGUAGGGGUAUUAUUCAAAUUAUCACUUUACAAAUUAUUAUAUAAAAAACUUUUUAAAUUGAUAUUACAUAGGGCAAUGCAUCAUAUGACCAUGUUCAGAAUAUUUUGGGGUUAAAAUUAAAAGAUGAAAACUAUGGUUCUGAGAACUUUAAGUGUUGCCCUACACUGCUCAAAGUUUUCAUGAUGAACCAAUCACAUACCGUUUUGAUUCUGGUUCCUUACCUGCAAGAAGAAUAAAAAAAUCUUCUUAGAUUACAAUUUGACAUUUUAAAUCCUCAAAAAGUCUUCUUACAUGUAACUGUAACAUUUUCUUUAUAUUUAGAUCUUACUUCUGGAUUGUGGCAACCCAUUGCGUUAAUUGUAUGUAAUAUUUUAUUUUUAAUAUAAAACUGAGGUGCAAUGAAGUGUGUUCACAUUAAAGGACUGCAUAACCAUUUCCACAAUGAAAUUUAUACAAGCACUUUUUUUUUUAUUUUGGAUAUUUUAACAUGUUUCUUGAGGUUUUAAUAGUUUUUGAUAAUUUAUGAUAGAAAGUUUUUACAACACUUUAAUUUUGAAUUAAUGACAUAUUAUUUUUUUGAGGAAAAACAGUAAAAUGAAAUUGGUGAAUAUAAAACUGCAAUAAAUAUGUUUGCAUUUACUGUAUA
rnacentral:lncRNA from 1 species